rnacentral:lncRNA from 1 species
GGCUCCUUAGCAAGGGCUAUAGUGCCAUUGUCUUUACAGUAUAGUGUCAUAGCAUCUGAUGGCAUAACAUCUAGUUCUGCAACUAACAUUAGAACCAGACUGCAUCCUACACAUCUACAGUGUACUCAGUUUCCAUCGAUCGAUUGCUUGGAACACUUCCAAGAUAUUGAAUCACGAUUACACAGGAACACAUCCCAUGAUGUAGAC